rnacentral:rRNA from 1 species
CAAUAGCGUAUAUUAAAGUUGUUGCAGUUAAAAAGCUCGUAGUUGGAUUUCGGGGUGGCCUGCCUGGUCCACCGCAAGGUGAGUACUGGUCAGCCGCCCUUCCUCUCGAAAGCCCCGACUGCUCUUCAUUGCAGUGGUCGGGUAGUUCGGGACGUUUACUUUGAAAAAAUUAGAGUGUUCAAGGCAGGCUCUCGCCUGAAUACAUUAGCAUGGAAUAAUGGAAGAGGACCUCGGUCCUAUUUUGUUGGUUUCUAGGGCCGAAGUAAUGAUUAAGGGGGACAGUUGGGGGCAUUCGUAUUUAAUUGUCAGAGGUGAAAUUCUUGGAUUUAUGAAAGACGAACUAGUGCGAAAGCAUUUACCAAGGAUGUUUUCAUUAA